rnacentral:rRNA from 1 species
UACGUAGGGUGCGAGCGUUAAUCGGAAUUACUGGGCGUAAAGCGUGCGCAGGCGGUGAUGUAAGGCAGAUGUGAAAUCCCCGGGCUCAACCUGGGACCUGCAUUUGUGACUGCAUCGCUGGAGUACGGCAGAGGGGGAUGGAAUUCCGCGUGUAGCAGUGAAAUGCGUAGAUAUGCGGAGGAACACCGAUGGCGAAGGCAAUCCCCUGGGCCUGUACUGACGCUCAUGCACGAAAGCGUGGGGAGCAAACAGG